GUGGCUUUCAUGGUCAAAAAAUGUCUUCGCAACUGUUAUUACAUUAUCUCAGUCCAUCACAGGUCAACUGAUUUGAAUAGUUUCUAACGUUGUAGGUGUCGUUGAAUUUGACGUGAUGAACAACGAGGAAGGUAGCAACAAUGACGGUCUAAUGGAAAUGCUUAACCAAAUGGCCAUAUAGCUUCAACAACAAGAUAACUGGACAUUCCUCAAAGAAUGCCGGUUACAAGUACCGCAACGUGAACAUGGCUUAGCCAUUCAAGAAAGCGUUGCAAUGUUUAUCCAAGUGUUGAGAGGGUUUUAGAAUCGAGAAAUCCAAAAACGGUUUCAAUAUUUGGGGGAGACUGUGUCUCGGCAUGUGCAUAAUGUAUUAGCGGUGAUGAAGGAGUUCAUUGUUGCACAUUGCAGGCCAACAUAUAAUCAGCAUCAUAUACAUCCAUACUUGUGGUCCAAACGGAAAUACCUACCUUUCAAGGACUAUAUUAGAGCAAUUGAUGGAAUACAUGUUACUGCGUUGGUUACGGGGCCAAAGGCUCCAACAUAUUUUGGUAGGAAAUACUGUCACACCCAAAUAUCAUGGCCGCGUGCGAUUUUGACAUGUGUUUCACCUUUGCAUCGCUUGGAUAGGAAGGAAGUAUGCACGAUAGUUGCAUCUUCAAUGAAAUAAUCACAAAUGACAAUGUUCCUUUUCCACAUCCUGAAGAAGGCAAAUAUUAUCUUGUCGAUGGUGGCUAUUCGAACCGCAUAGGUUACCUAGCACCAUUCAAAGGCAGUCGUUACCACCAACAACAAUUCUGCGUUACUAAAAGGCGUAGGACAACAGACAACCCCAGGGAAUUAUUUAACAAAGUUCACGCGUCGUUACGGAAUGUGGUGGAAUGCACUUUUGGAGCAUGGAAAAAUCGAUAGGGGUUUAUUCAAAUUAUGCCUCAGUACAAUUUUGCAAAUGUACAAGAGCAGUUGGUUGGUGCGUCAAGGGCGUUACAUAACUAUAUAUGUAGAAAUACUAGCAAUCCAACGACUAUUAACCCCAUCUUCAACGAAGAAGAGGCUAUGGCAAUAGUAAAUAGCAUACCAAAAGUUGCACAUGACGAAGAUGGUUUAAUGAAUGGGGAUGAUGACCCCCAUAUGGCAUUGGUGCGACUUCGCAUCCGAGACAAGCUAGUGUACAUGCGCAAAAACGAAAUGUUAGGAAACAUAGAGUCAACCUAAUAUUCGUAUGCGUGUAACAUUGUUCAGCCACAGUCGGGAUGUAUGUAAUUAUAUUAUAUUGUACAAUAUGUAUGUGUUUACACAAAAAAAUGAACUAUGGUUUACGUAACGUAUUUUGUA